AGAGUUUGAUCCUGGCUCAGAUUGAAGCUGGCGGCAUGCUUAACACAUGCAAGUCGAACGGUAACAGGCCUUCGGGCGCUGACGAGUGGCGGACGGGUGAGUAAUGCGUGGGAAUCUGCCUUAUGGCUGGGGACAACCAGUGGAAACGCUGGCUAAUACCGAAUACCGUCUACGGACGAAAGCGGGGGAUCUUCGGACCUCGCACCAUAAGAUGAGCCCACGUCUGAUUAGCUAGUUGGUGAGGUAAUUGCUCACCAAGGCGACGAUCAGUAGCCGGCCUAAGAGGGUGGACGGCCACACUGGGACUGAGACACGGCCCAGACUCCUACGGGAGGCAGCAGUGGGGAAUAUUGGACAAUGGGCGCAAGCCUGAUCCAGCAAUGCCGCGUGUGUGAAGAAGGCCUUCGGGUUGUAAAGCACUUUUGUUAGGGAGGAAAGUCUGGUAGCUAAUAACUGCUAGAUCUGACGUUACCUAAAGAAUCAGCACCGGCUAACUCUGUGCCAGCAGCCGCGGUAAUACAGAGGGUGCAAGCGUUAAUCGGAAUUACUGGGCGUAAAGGGUCUGUAGGCGGAUUAUUAAGUCGGAUGUGAAAUCCCCGGGCUCAACCUGGGAACGGCAUUCGAUACUGGUAGUCUAGAGUGUGCAAGAGGAUGGGGGAAUUCCUGGUGUAGCAGUGAAAUGCGUAGAGAUCAGGAGGAACAUCAAUGGCGAAGGCACCUUUCUGGGGCAACACUGACGCUGAGAGACGAAAGCGUGGGGAGCAAACAGGAUUAGAUACCCUGGUAGUCCACGCCCUAAACGAUGUCAACUAACUGUUCGGAGUCACUAAGAUUCUGAGUAGUGAAGCUAACGCGAUAAGUUGACCGCCUGGGGAGUACGGCCGCAAGGUUGAAACUCAAAGAAAUUGACGGGGGCCCGCACAAGCGGUGGAGUAUGUGGUUUAAUUCGAUGCAACGCGAAGAACCUUACCCGGUCUUGACAUGGUAGGAAUCUUUGUAGAAGAUACAAGAGUGCCUUCGGGAACCUACACACAGGUGCUGCACCGCCUGUUGUCAGCUCUUGUCCUUGAGAUGUUGGGUUAAGUUCCCGCCAACGAGGCCAACCUUGGCCUUAGUUAACCAACCAUUUAUUGGACUCUAAGGGACGUCCCGCGCGAAUAAAUCGAGAAGUGGGACAGACACGCUCAAGUUCAUACUACAUUGGGCGCCCUUAUUG
rnacentral:rRNA from 1 species